GGCUCAGAUUGAACGCUGGCGGCAUGCCUUACACAUGCAAGUCGAACGGGCAGCGGGCCUUCGGGUGCCGGCGAGUGGCGAACGGGUGAGUAAUGCAUCGGAACGUGCCAUUGAGUGGGGGAUAACGUAGCGAAAGUUACGCUAAUACCGCAUAUUCUGUGAGCAGGAAAGCAGGGGAUCGCAAGACCUUGCGCUGAUUGAGCGGCCGAUGUCAGAUUAGCUAGUUGGUGAGGUAAGGGCUCACCAAGGCGACGAUCUGUAGCGGGUCUGAGAGGAUGAUCCGCCACACUGGAACUGAGACACGGUCCAGACUCCUACGGGAGGCAGCAGUGGGGAAUUUUGGACAAUGGGGGCAACCCUGAUCCAGCCAUGCCGCGUGAGUGAAGAAGGCCUUCGGGUUGUAAAGCUCUUUCGGCCGGGAAGAAAUCGCAUGGGUUAAUACCCUGUGCGGAUGACGGUACCGGCAUAAGAAGCACCGGCUAACUACGUG
rnacentral:rRNA from 1 species